UUAACUGAAAUUUCUAUGGAGUUGGAACGCUGCCUACGUUUGCCGCUAGGGGCGCUGCUCUAACUGCAUAAAAAAUUGAGUUA
rfam:Bombyx mori DNA, contig: Bm_scaf37_contig21946, strain: p50T/Dazao, build 2, whole genome shotgun sequence.